rnacentral:tmRNA from 1 species
AGAAAGAACUCGAUUCAUUGCUCACGUUGAAUUUUCAGGCAUUCAAGAAAUGUGAUCUUGUGCCUAUAUGAAGUAUAAUCCCAGCGGGCCUCAGACCGCAACUUGCCUAUGGGGGGCGGGUUUCUGGGGUAAAAACACAUAGGAUCGCGGUGACGGGAGUCCGGACCUGAUCCGCUAAAACCUAACGGAAUCGCCGACUGAUCGCCCUGCCCCUCGGGCGGCGGAAGGUUAAAAAUAAUUGAGCGGGCUAAGCAUGUAGGGCCAAUGGCAGAGGGCUUGCGGACGCGGGUUCGAUUCCCGCCGCCUCCACCA